rnacentral:rRNA from 1 species
CACCGCGGUUAUACGAGAGACCCAAGUUGAUAGUCUUCGGCGUAAAGAGUGGUUAAGAUAAGAUUCAAAUUAAAGCCGAACGCUUUCAGAGCUGUUAUACGCCCCGAAAGUAAGAAGUUCAAUCACGAAAGUGGCUUUAUGAUACUGAACCCACGAAAGCUAUGAAA